rnacentral:lncRNA from 1 species
UAUCAAUUUAGCUUUAUUUCCCAACUGUGCUAACCUGUCAUUUUUAAUUAUUAUUUUCAGAAUCCUGGCAAUGAUGUCAUCCCUUUUUAUUUCCCUAAGCUCUUCAGUGUUCAUUUCAAGUGAUUGAUGGAGGUAUGAAAACCAUGAGAGUUUCCAAAUCCAAUAUGCUUAUAGAGAGCAGAACUGCACUUUAAUACAGUUUUGGACUGUAGUCAUCCCUGGUAGAACUGUACUGCACUCUGUUUGGACCUAAGUCCCCAUGAUGAUACUGAGAGAAAAUAGCAUUUUAAGGUUGAUAAGCGGUCUGAGAGCCUUUGAAGAAUGCUGCUGUUACUAAACUU